AGGGAAUCUUCCGCAAUGGACGAAAGUCUGACGGAGCAACGCCGCGUGAGUGAAGAAGGCCUUCGGGUCGUAAAACUCUGUUGCCGGGGAAGAACAAGUGCCGUUCGAACAGGGCGGUGCCUUGACGGUACCCGGCCAGAAAGCCACGGCUAACUACGUGCCAGCAGCCGCGGUAAUACGUAGGUGGCAAGCGUUGUCCGGAAUUAUUGGGCGUAAAGCGCGCGCAGGCGGCUUCUUAAGUCUGACGUGAAAUCUUGCGGCUCAACCGCAAGCGGUCAUUGGAAACUGGGAGGCUUGAGUGCAGAAGAGGAGAGUGGAAUUCCACGUGUAGCGGUGAAAUGCGUAGAGAUGUGGAGGAACACCAGUGGCGAAGGCGACUCUCUGGGCUGUAACUGACGCCGAGGCGCGAAAGCGUGGGGAGCAAAC
rnacentral:rRNA from 1 species